rnacentral:rRNA from 1 species
AUUGAACGCUGGCGGCAGGCCUAACACAUGCAAGUCGAGCGGAUGAGGGAAGCUUGCUUCCCGAUUUAGCGGCGGACGGGUGAGUAAUGCCUAGGAAUCUGCCUAUUAGUGGGGGAUAACGUUCCGAAAGGAACGCUAAUACCGCAUACGUCCUACGGGAGAAAGUGGGGGAUCUUCGGACCUCACGCUAAUAGAUGAGCCUAGGUCGGAUUAGCUAGUUGGUGAGGUAACGGCUCACCAAGGCGACGAUCCGUAGCUGGUCUGAGAGGAUGAUCAGCCACACUGGAACUGAGACACGGUCCAGACUCCUACGGGAGGCAGCAGUGGGGGAUAUUGGACAAUGGGCGAAAGCCUGAUCCAGCCAUGCCGCGUGUGUGAAGAAGGUCUUCGGAUUGUAAAGCACUUUAAGUUGGGAGGAAGAGUUGUAAGCUAAUAUCUUGCAGCUUUGACGUUACCAACAGAAUAAGCACCGGCUAACUCUGUGCCAGCAGCCGCGGUAACAC